UCGCAUUGCUCCCCGUCAGAAACCCUAGAUCAGAUCCAGGACGAAUGGCCGAUACCGUAGUUCCGAUUCUGGAGACGACAGGAUGGAUAUUGCGUCCCCCAAAGAACAUGAUGAUGAAAGUGAGUAUUUUGCUUCAUGGGUAGUUAGGAAGCAACUAUACCCGGAGACUGUCAACUGGAUACCGCCGGUUCGGAUCUUCCGGUACACAGCUAUCUUUGAGGAGGCCUGGGGUUGGGACCGGCUACUGCCACAUACCAGUGUUCCGAUCCCCACGUAUUUGGAGUACCUGACGGAGUAUCACAAGCGCAAUCGCAUGGAUUACGUUGCUGCUGCCGCUGGCAACUCAAAACCUGAAGACUGGCCGCUCAAAUACCGAGCAGUGAAUAAUGAUACCCAAUUCGACCCGGAUGCGUCACUUGUAGAUGCCGCCCAGUUUUGUCUGAAAAUGGAGGAGCGUUUCAUGUUGGCAUGGAAUAACAAACGCGUCCGCAAUGUGAAACAUCUGAGCCAAUUGAUACAGGAGCGAGCCCGUGCCAUCAUCUCCACUAGUGAAGAAUUCUCUGAAACUGCUGCUGCUAGCUUGGUGUGUAUCUCCAAUGAGGCUGUUUUGGCGUCUGAGCUUCUGCACCGUUGGGCUAAAUCCACUGACGAGGAAAUCAGAUUAUGCAACCUCAUCCGCCACUGUGCACUGAAUUUAAUGCACAUUACUGGGCCUGAAUCUGCUGCCUCCAUUGCUGCCAUGGUGGUCUGUGCAUGCAUUCCCAAACACAGAGCUUUACUUGUAGUUUUCUAUGUUUCGUGCUAACUUCGAGUUGUUGUUUUUAACUUUCAAGGGUGUUGCUAAGGAGGCCAGGCUAAUGUGCCAGUGGAUGGGGCAAACAAAGAAACUUUAUGCCUACCGCUCUUACAAUCAUCCACCCCAUGAGAUGUAUCUUUGCGACAUGAUCCGUGAGGCCGUCCUUAAGGUUAUGAGCCACGUACUGAACAAUUACUCAAGGGGCAACAAUACUUACAUGGUAAUGGAUUUUCAAAAGAAGAACAGGAAGCGAAAGACCAAGGUGGAAACCUCAGAUGACGAGUUAUCACAGGCGUCACUUGAUGAACAGGCGCCACUUGAUGAACGGUCACCAAAAGCCAAUGCGGUAACCUUAAAUGAGAAGUAUCACAGACGGUCUUUCCUCCUGUUGUAAACAAAACUGGCAUCCAGAUUGAACAGGCGCCACUUGGUGAACGAGAGAAGUACAUUGUUGAGCUGGAAAGGAAGUUGAGUGAAAGGGAUAGAGAAUUGGAAGCUUUGAAGUUUGAUCAUAAAAAGGCAGGAUCUUCUUGCAGUGCAGACGAAAGAGCUUGCAAAAGACAGGUACGUCUGUUGCCUUUUGGUGCUUUCCCCUCGAAAAGGAAAUUCACAGUUCAGAUUAGUUGUGCAGCUUAUAUACCUUAAUAGUUUAAAGUAUCCAGAGCUGUGGUACUGGGAAUUAUGAAGUUGGCUGUUGUUGUGAUAACCUUGCUAUGUAUGUUUUUGGACAAAAUGAACCAACACACCGCAUGUUAGUUUUGAGGUAUAACCUUGCUGAAGAAUGAUGAUUGUAGUGCCAUGGAGCGCGAAGCGAGGAUGCUCAGGGAGAACACCUACUUUGAUGUGGAUCUGUGCAGCGGCGGACGAUGCUACCGCAAGCUGAUGGUGCCUGGGCUUAGUGGAGGAUGUUUGGGACCUUGUUUGUGCGUUUUAUCUUCAGCUCUGAGCAUCCCCUUUCUUUCAGACUUUAUUCUCUAUUGCUGGUGUCGUCGGCUUUUCGCCCCAUAACAAUUGUUUUGAUGGUGAGCAUUUGCAGUGGGUUUCCUUGUGAUGCUUUUUACUCGCUCCCCCGUUUCUUAGAGCAUCUCUAGCAGAUCCGGUAUAUGCCUGUCCUGUAAAAUCGUUUUAUCCCACGCCAAUUCCCAUCAUAUGCCAAACAAGGGAAUGGGAGUAAAAAUCUACUUCCCAUGCCUAAUCCCUUCAUAAACACCCUUGUGCAAACUCCUAUGCCCUUGCCCAAGUGUUUACCAAACAGGCUGUUAGGGUAUACCUCAAAACGUUUUUUAUGAGUUUUUUGUGUAUGAUAUGUGUGAGGGCAGAGAUCUUUUUAAAUUUUUUUGACUCAAAACAAAGGUUGCAAUCGGGACCUUUUCCUCCUCUUUCUCUGGUCCUCUUCCUCCUCCCGACUGGAGUGCAGCACAGGGGAGGUCGUUGGCGCCAGGGGAGUGGUGGCCAUGUCCUCACGCCUACUAGACCAGCGCGAGGUUGCCGGGGAUGUGAGGUGCGUUGCCAGUGAGCCUCCGAGGUGCGAUGCUAGUGAGCUUCAAGGCGGACGGCCAUCAUGGCAUGGUGGGAGAUGAGCAGGGUGAGCUUCUCUUGCCAAAUUGGCUUGGGCAAAGCGACG
rnacentral:rRNA from 1 species